CAUGCAAGUCGAGCGGAUGUUUACGCUAUUUGCGGCCUUCGGGCCAAAGAUUUGUAAACAUUAGCGGCGGACGGGUGAGUAGCGCGUGGAUAAUCUGCCUUAUGGCUUGGGACAACAGUUCGAAAGGACUGCUAAUACCGGAUAAGCUUACGAAGCCGCAUGGUUUAGUAAGAAAAGUUCAGGCGCCAUAAGAUGAGUCCGCGUAUGAUUAGCUAGUUGGCGGGAUAAAAGCCCACCAAGGCGACGAUCAUUAGCCGGCCUGAGAGGGUGAUCGGCCACAUUGGGACUGAGACACGGCCCAAACUCCUACGGGAGGCAGCAGUGGGGAAUAUUGCACAAUGGGCGCAAGCCUGAUGCAGCAACGCCGCGUGAGGGAAGAAGGCCUUCGGGUCGUAAACCUCUAUCGACCGGGAAGAAAAAAAUGACGGUACCGGAGUAAGAAGCCCCGGCUAACUACGUGCCAGCAGCCGCGGUAAUACGUAGGGGGCAAGCGUUAUCCGGAAUUACUGGGUGUAAAGGGUGAGUAGCCGGCUAUGUAAGUCAUAUGUGAAAUUCCGCGGCUUAACCGCGGAACUGCAUAAGAAACUGCGUGGCUAGAGUACAGGAGAGGUAAGCGGAAUUCCUUGUGUAGCGGUGAAAUGCGUAGAUAUAAGGAAGAACACCAGUGGCGCAAACGCAAUAAGCUAACCACCUGGGGAGUACGGCCGCAAGGCUGAAACUCAAAGGAAUUGACGGGGGCCCGCACAAGCGGUGGAGCAUGUGGAUUAAUUCGAUGCAACGCGAAGAACCUUACCGGGGCUUGACAUGGAGCCGAAAUCAUCAGAGAUGAUGCCUCCCUUCGGGGCGGCUCACACAGGUGGUGCAUGGUUGUCGUCAGCUCGUGUCGUGAGAUGUUGGGUUAAGUCCCGCAACGAGCGCAACCCUUAUCUUCAGUUCCCAGCACGUAAUGGUGGGUACGCUGGAGAGACUGCCGUGGAUAACACGGAGGAAGGUGGGGAUGAUGUCAAAUCAUCAUGCCCCUUACGUCCCGGGCUUCACACGUGCUACAAUGGCCGUUACAAAGUGAUGCGAGGCAGUGAUGCCAAGCGAACCACAAAAAACGGCCCCAGUUCGGAUUGUAGGCUGCAACUCGCCUGCAUGAAGUUGGAGUCGCUAGUAAUCGCGAAUCAGCAUGUCGCGGUGAAUACGUUCCCGGGCCUUGUACACACCGCCCGUCACACCAUGGGAGUUGGAUGCGCCCGAAGUCAGUGACCUAACCCGCAAGGGAGGGAGCUGCCGAAGGUGAAGUCAGCGACUGGGGUG
rnacentral:rRNA from 1 species